rnacentral:rRNA from 1 species
GGUAACAUGAGAAAGCUUGCUUUCUUGAUGACGAGUGGCGGACGGGUGAGUAAUGCCUGGGAAGCUGCCUGAAUGAGGGGGACAACACCUGGAAACGGGUGCUAAUACCGCGUAUACCCUGAGGGGGAAAGACCGGAUACGGUCACAUUCAGAUGCGCCCAGGUGGGAUUAGCUAGUUGGUGGGGUAACGGCCUACCAAGGCGACGAUCUCUAGCUGGUCUGAGAGGAUGAUCAGCCACACUGGAACUGAGACACGGUCCAGACUCCUACGGGAGGCAGCAGUAGGGAAUAUUGCACAAUGGGGGGAACCCUGAUGCAGCCAUGCCGCGUGUGUGAAGAAGGCCUUCGGGUUGUAAAGCACUUUCAGUAUGGAGGAAGUUAAGGCAGUUAAUAAGUGCCUUGAUUGACGUUACAUACAGAAGAAGCACCGGCUAACUCCGUGCCAGCAGCCGCGGUAAUACGGAGGGUGCGAGCGUUAAUCGGAAUAACUGGGCGUAAAGAGCUCGUAGGCGGUUAGUCAAGUCAGAUGUGAAAGCCCCGGGCUUAACCUGGGAACUGCAUUUGAAACUGACGAACUAGAGUACUGUAGAGGGAGGUAGAAUUCCAGGUGUAGCGGUGAAAUGCGUAGAUAUCUGGAGGAAUACCGGUGGCGAAGGCGGCCUCCUGGACAGAGACUGACGCUGAGGAGCGAAAGCGUGGGGAGC